rnacentral:misc_RNA from 1 species
ACGGCGCCGUUCACCUUGAUAUCUACAUAAUCACCAAUCUUAUAGGUCCUAAGAUAUGUGGUCAAAGGAAUGUAACCCUUCUUCCUGAAGGGCCUAGAGAACAAAUCGCGAGUUCGAGAACGAAGACCAUGACCGGCCGGCAUUUUCACUCGCCCUCUGGCUCUUUGUGGUUCUAAGGUGUGGGGAAGGAUUAGAAGAGGAA